rnacentral:rRNA from 2 species
UACAGAGGCCUCGAGCGUUGUUCGGAAUUACUGGGCGUAAAGGGAAUGUAGGUGGUGACGUAAGUCAGAUGUGAAAGCCCUGGGCUUAACCCGGGAAGUGCAUUUGAUACUGCGUUGCUUGAGUACGAGAGAGGAAAGCGGAAUUUCCAGUGUAGGAGUGAAAUCCGUAGAUAUUGGAAGGAAUACCGAUGGCGAAGGCAGCUUUCUGGCUCGUAACUGACACUGAGAUUCGAAAGCGUGGGUAGCAAACAGG